AGCGAACGCUGGCGGCAGGCUUAACACAUGCCAGUCGAGCGGGCACUUUCGGGUGUCAGCGGCGGACGGGUGAGUAACGCGUGGGAACGUGCCCUCUGGUUCGGAAUAACUCAGGGAAACUUGAGCUAAUACCGGAUACGCCCUUUUGGGGAAAGGCUUGCUGCCGGAGGAUCGGCCCGCGUCUGAUUAGCUAGUUGGUGAGGUAACGGCUCACCAAGGCGACGAUCAGUAGCUGGUCUGAGAGGAUGAUCAGCCACACUGGGACUGAGACACGGCCCAGACUCCUACGGGAGGCAGCAGUGGGGAAUAUUGGACAAUGGGCGCAAGCCUGAUCCAGCCAUGCCGCGUGAGUGAUGAAGGCCUUAGGGUUGUAAAGCUCUUUUAUCCGGGACGAUAAUGACGGUACCGGAGGAAUAAGCCCCGGCCAACUUCGUG
rnacentral:rRNA from 1 species